AUUGAACGCUGGCGGCAUGCCUAACACAUGCAAGUCGAGCGGAGCGGCGGACGGGUGAGUAAUGCCUAGGAAUCUGCCUGGUAGUGGGGGAUAACGUCCGGAAACGGGCGCUAAUCCCGCAUACUAUCAGAUGAUCCUAGGUCGGAUGAGCUCGUUGGUGGGGUACCGGCCUACCAAGGCGACGGUCCGGACCUGGUCUGAGAGGAUGAUCAGUCACACUGGAACUGAGACACGGUCCAGACUCCUACGGGAGGCAGCAGUGGGGAAUAUGGGACAAUGGGCGAAAGCCUGAUCCAGCCAUGCCGCGUGUGUGAAGAAGGUCUUCGGAUUUUAAAGCACUUUAAGUUGGGAGGCGUUACCAACAGAAUAAGCACCGGCUAACUUCGUGCCAGCAGCCGCGGUAAUUC
rnacentral:rRNA from 1 species